rnacentral:rRNA from 1 species
UGGGGAAUUUUGCGCAAUGGGGGAAACCCUGACGCAGCAACGCCGCGUGCGGGAUGAAGGCCUUCGGGUUGUAAACCGCUUUCAGCAGGGAAGAACACAGACGGUACCUGCAGAAGAAGCUCCGGCUAACUACGUGCCAGCAGCCGCGGUAAUACGUAGGGAGCAAGCGUUAUCCGGAUUCAUUGGGCGUAAAGCGCGCGUAGGCGGCUUGUUAAGUCAGGUGUAAAAGGCGGAGGCUCAACCUCCGUAGGCACCUGAAACUGGCAGGCUCGAGUUCGGUAGAGGAAGAUGGAAUUCCCAGUGUAGCGGUGAAAUGCGCAGAUAUUGGGAGGAACACCGAUGGCGAAGGCAGUCUUCUGGGCCGUAACUGACGCUGAGGCGCGAAAGCUGGGGGAGCAAACAGG